rnacentral:rRNA from 1 species
ACGGCGGCCGUAACUAUAACGGUCCUAAGGUAGCGAAAUUCCUUGUCGGGUAAGUUCCGACCUGCACGAAUGGCGUAAUGAUGGCCAGGCUGUCUCCACCCGAGACUCAGUGAAAUUGAACUCGCUGUGAAGAUGCAGUGUACCCGCGGCAAGACGGAAAGACCCCGUGAACCUUUACUAUAGCUUGACACUGAACAUUGAGCCUUGAUGUGUAGGAUAGGUGGGAGGCUUUGAAGUGUGGACGCCAGUCUGCAUGGAGCCGACCUUGAAAUACCACCCUUUAAUGUUUGAUGUUCUAACGUGGACCCGUGAUCCGGGUUGCGGACAGUGUCUGGUGGGUAGUUUGACUGGGGCGGUCUCCUCCUAAAGAGUAACGGAGGAGCACGAAGGUUGGCUAAUCCUGGUCGGACAUCAGGAGGUUAGUGCAAUGGCAUAAGCCAGCUUGACUGCGAGCGUGACGGCGCGAGCAGGUGCGAAAGCAGGUCAUAGUGAUCCGGUGGUUCUGAAUGGAAGGGCCAUCGCUCAACGGAUAAAAGGUACUCCGGGGAUAACAGGCUGAUACCGCCCAAGAGUUCAUAUCGACGGCGGUGUUUGGCACCUCGAUGUCGGCUCAUCACAUCCUGGGGCUGAAGUAGGUCCCAAGGGUAUGGCUGUUCGCCAUUUAAAGUGGUACGCGAGCUGGGUUUAGAACGUCGUGAGACAGUUCGGUCCCUAUCUGCCGUGGGCGCUGGAGAACUGAGGGGGGCUGCUCCUAGUACGAGAGGACCGGAGUGGACGCAUCACUGGUGUUCGGGUUGUCAUGCCAAUGGCACUGCCCGGUAGCUAAAUGCGGAAGAGAUAAGUGCUGAAAGCAUCUAAGCACGAAACUUGCCCCGAGAUGAGUUCUCCCUGACCCUUUAAGGGUCCUGAAGGAACGUUGAAGACGACGACGUUGAUAGGCCGGGUGUGUAAGCGCAGCGAUGCGUUGAGCUAACCGGUACUAAUGAACCGUGAGGCUUAACCUUACAACGCCGAAGGUGUUU